UUAAGCGACUAAGCGUACACGGUGGAUGCCCUGGCAGUCAGAGGCGAUGAAGGACGUGCUAAUCUGCGAAAAGCGUCGGUAAGGUGAUAUGAACCGUUACAGCCGGCGAUGUCCGAAUGGGGAAACCCAGUGCAAUUCGUUGCACUAUCGUUAACUGAAUACAUAGGUUAACGAGGCGAACCGGGGGAACUGAAACAUCUAAGUACCCCGAGGAAAAGAAAUCAACCGAGAUUCCCCCAGUAGCGGCGAGCGAACGGGGAGCAGCCCGGAGUCUGAAUCAGCUUGUGUGUUAGUGGAAGCGUCUGGAAAGUCGCAGGGUACAGGGUGAUACUCCCGUACACUAAAACACACAGGCUGUGAACUCGAAGAGUAGGGCGGGACACGUGGUAUCCUGUCUGAAUAUGGGGGGACCAUCCUCCAAGGCUAAAUACUCCUGACUGACCGAUAGUGAACCAGUACCGUGAGGGAAAGGCGAAAAGAACCCCGGCGAGGGGAGUGAAAAAGAACCUGAAACCGUGUACGUACAAGCAGUAGGAGCCCCACCACCAAAGCGUUUCGCUUUGCGUGGUGCGCAAAAUGCGUAACGACAGCAUGAUGGACGGUUAACGGAGCGUCAGCGACGUUCAACGUCAAAAAUCAGGCAGUGGAGCGUUUUGGGGUGGGGUGACUGCGUACCUUUUGUAUAAUGGGUCAGCGACUUAUAUUCUGUAGCAAGGUUAACCGUAUAGGGGAGCCGCAGGGAAACCGAGUCUUAACUGGGCGUUAAGUUGCAGGGUAUAGACCCGAAACCCGGUGAUCUAGCCAUGGGCAGGUUGAAGGUUGGGUAACACUAACUGGAGGACCGAACCGACUAAUGUUGAAAAAUUAGCGGAUGACUUGUGGCUGGGGGUGAAAGGCCAAUCAAACCGGGAGAUAGCUGGUUCUCCCCGAAAGCUAUUUAGGUAGCGCCUCGUGAACUCAUCUUCGGGGGUAGAGCACUGUUUCGGCUAGGGGGUCAUCCCGACUUACCAACCCGAUGCAAACUACGAAUACCGAAGAAUGUUAUCACGGGAGACACACGGCGGGUGCUAACGUCCGUCGUGAAGAGGGAAACAACCCAGACCGCCAGCUAAGGUCCCAAAGUCAUGGUUAAGUGGGAAACGAUGUGGGAAGGCCCAGACAGCCAGGAUGUUGGCUUAGAAGCAGCCAUCAUUUAAAGAAAGCGUAAUAGCUCACUGGUCGAGUCGGCCUGCGCGGAAGAUGUAACGGGGCUAAACCAUGCACCGAAGCUGCGGCAGCGACACUAUGUGUUGUUGGGUAGGGGAGCGUUCUGUAAGCCGUUGAAGGUGGCCUGUGAGGGUUGCUGGAGGUAUCAGAAGUGCGAAUGCUGACAUAAGUAACGAUAAUGCGGGUGAAAAACCCGCACGCCGGAAGACCAAGGGUUCCUGUCCAACGUUAAUCGGGGCAGGGUGAGUCGACCCCUAAGGCGAGGCCGAAAGGCGUAGUCGAUGGGAAACAGGUUAAUAUUCCUGUACUUGGUGUUACUGCGAAGGGGGGACGGAGAAGGCUAUGUUGGCCGGGCGACGGUUGUCCCGGUUUAAGCAUGUAGGCGGAUGUUCCAGGUAAAUCCGGAGCGUCACUAACGCUGAGGUGUGAUGACGAGGCACUACGGUGCUGAAGUGACAAAUGCCCUGCUUCCAGGAAAAGCCUCUAAGCAUCAGGUAACAUCAAAUCGUACCCCAAACCGACACAGGUGGUCAGGUAGAGAAUACCAAGGCGCUUGAGAGAACUCGGGUGAAGGAACUAGGCAAAAUGGUGCCGUAACUUCGGGAGAAGGCACGCUGAUGGUAGGUGAAGUGACUUGCUCAUGGAGCUGAAAUCAGUCGAAGAUACCAGCUGGCUGCAACUGUUUAUUAAAAACACAGCACUGUGCAAACACGAAAGUGGACGUAUACGGUGUGACGCCUGCCCGGUGCCGGAAGGUUAAUUGAUGGGGUUAUCCUCGCGGAGAAGCUCUUGAUCGAAGCCCCGGUAAACGGCGGCCGUAACUAUAACGGUCCUAAGGUAGCGAAAUUCCUUGUCGGGUAAGUUCCGACCUGCACGAAUGGCGUA
rnacentral:rRNA from 1 species